GCAGAGCCUGAUACUAUUACUGUCAGCAGAAGUUGGGAUGAUAAAUUGAGCAUUAAAGACAAGACGAUAGGCAGCAAGAAGUCUGUUAUGUCAGUUGCAGGCUCAGGAGGGACUCAGACUACAGAAGUGGAGCUGGCAGCAGCAAAGCAAUGUUGUCUUCCUGAUGAUGUCAUCUUAGAGCUGGCAAGGAUAGGCAUUAUGAUUGAGCAAUAUUUUGGAGAUGCAAGAGACAUAGAAUGGGCUGUUU